GUGUGCAGUAGCGUAUGGAGGUGUGUGCUGCUUCUAGCUUUCUCAUUCGCCCUUUAUCUACCUAUAGGCUGUGGGCUAUUUUAUAAGAUCUCCAGCCAAGACACCCGGAUGUGUUGCCGUAGCACAAUGACAGCGAGUCACAGGUGGUAGCUACUGGCUUAGUGACUGGGAGGACUGCUUCGUGUGCGGCCAGUCAUGAAAAUCCUCUUCCUGGCCUGCCUCCGAGCCCACACUGGCAACUCAACUACCGCCCUGCGAAUCAAGGAUCAUCUGGAAGCGGCAGGUCAUACAUGUGUGCUUAAAGAUGCAGCAAUAUUGGAAAGUUCAGAAGUAGAAACACUAAUCUCUCAAGAAAAGUUUAAUGCUGGACUAAUCAUACAACUUUAUAAAGCAGGCCGGUUUCUUAUGGGUAACAGAAUUCCUUUUGGUGCCAUCUUCGGAGGAACUGACAUUAAUGAAGAUGUCAAGAAUGAAGAGAAAUGUAGAGUUAUGGGAGCUGUGCUUGAAGAGGCCAGGUUUGUUGUGGCUUUUACUCACAAGAUUAAAGAGCUGGCAGCAACAAAGUGGCCUCAUGCCAAGCAUAAAAUACACAUUCAACCUCAAGGUAUUUUAACAAAGCCAAGUAAAUCUUUUGAUUAUGAAGCAUUUUUGCAGAAUGCAGGUAUUCGGCACAAAUCAGGGCAUUUGCACCUUUAUGUCUUGAUAUGUGGACUGCGAAGAGUGAAAGAUCCCCUUUAUUUGGCUGAAAUGUUUGCAAAGUGGCAUGAAAAGGAACCAAAUGUUUACUUGGCUAUUAUUGGACCAAUGGUUGAUCCUGUAUUUACAAAGGAAGUUGAGAAUAAGCUUGAAGAAAUUGAUGGUGUUUACCUGAUUAAAGAAAUCCCUCAAUCAGACCUGCAAGCCGUUAUAAAGAGAAGUUUUGCAUUGGUAAACAGUUCUUUGUCUGAGGGGAUGUCCGCAGCUAUACUAGAGUUUGUACGACAAUUGAAGAAAUCAAAAGGAUCUAUUCGUCUCGUCACAAAUUUUCUAGCACAACCUACUGUCAUCUUUCGCUAAAUAUCACAGUGCCUUCAGAAAAAUUUACUAGCCCCUAAUUCCUGAGGGAGUUUAUUGAAUUGCACCAGGCUUGUCCUUGUUUAUGGAAAGUGAAAUCGGGGGGACUACAUGAAUAAAAUAAAACAAGAAAAGGCAUAUGAAGAGUUGUUAAACCUUUGAAAAUCUGUGUGCCCUACAGAAGAUAUACAGUUUGUGAAAAUCUGGUGCUUCUGCCGAUGACAUUUAUGUUCCUAGAUUAUGGUACUAUUUUAUGGUACUAUGAUCUACUACAUUUCACAGUGGAUCAGGAGGUGGCAAGGGACUCAAGGUCCAAUUUUUCAACUCAAGACUUGGAAAAGACAUCCAGGGGAUGUGACAGCUGUACAAGCGCAGGAUGUCACAGCUGUACAAAUACCAAAAGUAGAGGACCAAACAGAACAUCUGUCCCAAAUGCCACAGAGCAAUGGCAGUACUAAUGCUUCUACUCGGCUAAACACAGAUAGCCAAGAAGAACGUAGCUCACAAACAAUGACCGGUUCAAACAGAAAAUGUAUAGGAAAUUAUGAUGCAUCAUUGCAACAGUUAUUAAGUGAUGCAGCAGCUCUACUGCACAAACAAUCUGAUGAGUUUAAGGCAAUCUGUUUUACGGUUGCCUCAAACUGAGAAGAAUGGAUGAAGAGCAGCUGCUGUUUGCGGAAUCCCUUAUCAAUGAAGCCCUGCAUAAAGGCUUUAGAAAAUACUACAUGAAACUACUGGAUUAAUUGACUACCUAUGUGAAAGCACUAGUAACUACAACUGGUUUUCCCCAGCCUUAUCUAAUUCCACUGCAAAUACACAGAAUAUUCACACCACAUUCUGUGGUUCCGUAUGAAAAGACAUCUACUACAAAAGACAUCUAUGCUAUCUCCCAUACCAACAAAUAUUGGACUUAACAAUAACUUAUCAGUUUCUGACAUGGAACAGCAAGAGCUAUAACAGUUAUAAACCUGUGAACAAUUGGACUAUGAACACUUAUGCAAUUGGUUUUAUACAGUCAUAUGAAAAAGUUUGGGAACCCCUCUCAGCAUGCAAAAUAAUUUACUUCACUUUCAACAAAAAGCUAACAGUGGUGUGUCUUUCAUACAUCUGAGUAAUGGGGUGCUUUCUGAACAAAGAUUUUUUAGUGAAGCAGUAUUUCGUUGUAUGAAAUUAAAUCAAAUGUAAAAAACUAGCUGUUCAAAGAUUUGGGUACCCUUGUUAUUUUGCUAAUUUGAAUGCAUGUAACUGCUCAAUACGGAUUACUGGCAACACCAAAUUGGUUAGAUUUGCU